GAGCUGUAUAACUGUGGUCAUGGAAGUGAUUGAAACCUGAAUACAGUGAUUUGGAUGGGGCAUUCUCACAUGAAGGAGUCCUCGCUGGAUCUGGGCCAGGCCACGUAGCACAGAGUCCUCUUGGGUAAUUUUCUGAUGGUGGAGAAGAAACACAGGGGGAAGGCCAGGACAACCGCCAGCACCCAGAUAAACACGAUCACCACUUUAGUAGCCGUGGCCGACAGGUGGCAGUUGGCUGGAUCUUCCUGUUUUUUUUUUUUGUCCCUCGGGCCAUAAGACUGUUCAAUGCCUCUCAGCACAGAAAACUAAAGACUCUCUGACACUUUUUCACUCUGGCAACUCCGGCCACACCAUGGACACACCCCCAUCCAUGGAC